CUGGGAAUGGUAAAGUGGUGUUACUGCUAAUAACGCAGAGAGUUGUUAAGACUCACCUUUCUAGC
rnacentral:tRNA from 1 species